UUUUAGAGUUUUGGAUCUGGCUCAGAUUGAACGCUGGCGGCAGGCCUAACACAUGCAAGUCGAGCGGCAGCGACAACANNGANCCUUCGGNNGAUUUNUUGGGCGGCGAGCGGCGGACGGGUGAGUAAUGGCUGGGAACCUGCCUGGUAGAGGGGGAUAACCACUGGAAACGGUGGCUAAUACCGCAUGAUGUCUACGGACCAAAGAGGGGGANCUUCGGNCCUCUCGCUACCGGAUGGGCCCAGUUGGGAUUAGCUAGUUGGUGNGGUAAAGGCUCACCAAGGCGACGAUCCCUAGCUGGUUUGAGAGGAUGAUCAGCCACACUGGAACUGAGACACGGUCCAGACUCCUACGGGAGGCAGCAGUGGGGAAUAUUGCACAAUGGGCGCAAGCCUGAUGCAGCCAUGCCGCGUGUGUGAAGAAGGCCUUCGGGUUGUAAAGCACUUUCAGCCGUGAGGAAGGCAUUGUACUUAAUACGUGCCAGUGUUGACGUAGCG
rnacentral:rRNA from 1 species